UACGUGGGAGGCGAGCGUUAUUCGUCUUUAAUGGGUCUAAAGGGCGCGUAGGCGGAUAGUUUAGUCAGAGGUGAAAGCCCAGGGCUCAACCUUGGAAUUGCCUUUGAUACUGGCUAUCUUGAGUUCGGGAGAGGUGAGUGGAAUUCCGAGUGUAGAGGUGAAAUUCGUAGAUAUUCGGCGGAACACCAGUGGCGAAGGCGACUCACUGGCACGAUACUGACGCUGAGGCGCGAAAGCGUGGGGAGCAAACAGG
rnacentral:rRNA from 1 species